UACGGGGGGGGGCAAGCGUUGUUCGGAAUUACUGGGCGUAAAGGGCGCGUAGGCGGCCUGCUAAGUCGAACGUGAAAUCCCUGGGCUCAACCCAGGAACUGCGUCCGAUACUGGUUGGCUUGAAUCCGGGAGAGGGACGUGGAAUUCCAGGUGUAGCGGUGAAAUGCGUAGAUAUCUGGAGGAACACCGGUGGCGAAGGCGGCAUCCUGGACCGAUAUUGACGCUGAGGCGCGAAAGCCAGGGGAGCAAACGGG
rnacentral:rRNA from 1 species